GGGUUGUGAGGUUAAGCGACUAAGCGUACACGGUGGAUGCCCUGGCAGUCAGAGGCGAUGAAGGACGUGCUAAUCUGCGAAAAGCGUCGGUAAGGUGAUAUGAACCGUUAUAACCGGCGAUGUCCGAAUGGGGAAACCCAGUGCAAUUCGUUGCACUAUCGUUAACUGAAUACAUAGGUUAACGAGGCGAACCGGGGGAACUGAAACAUCUAAGUACCCCGAGGAAAAGAAAUCAACCGAGAUUCCCCCAGUAGCGGCGAGCGAACGGGGAGCAGCCCAGAGUCUGAAUCAGCUUGUGUGUUAGUGGAACGGUCUGGAAAGUCCGACGGUACAGGGUGAUAGUCCCGUACACCAAAAUGCACAGGUUGUGAACUCGAAGAGUAGGGCGGGACACGUGGUAUCCUGUCUGAAUAUGGGGGGACCAUCCUCCAAGGCUAAAUACUCCUGACUGACCGAUAGUGAACCAGUACCGUGAGGGAAAGGCGAAAAGAACCCCGGCGAGGGGAGUGAAAAAGAACCUGAAACCGUGUACGUACAAGCAGUGGGAGCACCUUCGGGUGUGACUGCGUACCUUUUGUAUAAUGGGUCAGCGACUUAUAUUCUGUAGCAAGGUUAACCGUAUAGGGGAGCCGCAGGGAAACCGAGUCUUAACUGGGCGUUAAGUUGCAGGGUAUAGACCCGAAACCCGGUGAUCUAGCCAUGGGCAGGUUGAAGGUUGGGUAACACUAACUGGAGGACCGAACCGACUAAUGUUGAAAAAUUAGCGGAUGACUUGUGGCUGGGGGUGAAAGGCCAAUCAAACCGGGAGAUAGCUGGUUCUCCCCGAAAGCUAUUUAGGUAGCGCCUCGUGAACUCAUCUUCGGGGGUAGAGCACUGUUUCGGCUAGGGGGUCAUCCCGACUUACCAACCCGAUGCAAACUACGAAUACCGAAGAAUGUUAUCACGGGAGACACACGGCGGGUGCUAACGUCCGUCGUGAAGAGGGAAACAACCCAGACCGCCAGCUAAGGUCCCAAAGUCAUGGUUAAGUGGGAAACGAUGUGGGAAGGCACAGACAGCCAGGAUGUUGGCUUAGAAGCAGCCAUCAUUUAAAGAAAGCGUAAUAGCUCACUGGUCGAGUCGGCCUGCGCGGAAGAUGUAACGGGGCUAAACCAUGCACCGAAGCUGCGGCAGCGACACUAUGUGUUGUUGGGUAGGGGAGCGUUCUGUAAGCCUGCGAAGGUGUGCUGUGAGGCAUGCUGGAGGUAUCAGAAGUGCGAAUGCUGACAUAAGUAACGAUAAAGCGGGUGAAAAGCCCGCUCGCCGGAAGACCAAGGGUUCCUGUCCAACGUUAAUCGGGGCAGGGUGAGUCGACCCCUAAGGCGAGGCCGAAAGGCGUAGUCGAUGGGAAACAGGUUAAUAUUCCUGUACUUGGUGUUACUGCGAAGGGGGGACGGAGAAGGCUAUGUUAGCCGGGCGACGGUUGUCCCGGUUUAAGCAUGUAGGCUGGUUNNNNNNNNNNNNNNNNNNNNNNNNNNNNNNNNNNNNNNNNNNNNNNNNNNNNNNNNNNNNNNNNNNNNNNNNNNNNNNNNNNNNNNNNNNNNNNNNNNNNCAAGGCUGAGGUGUGAUGACGAGGCACUACGGUGCUGAAGUAACAAAUGCCCUGCUUCCAGGAAAAGCCUCUAAGCAUCAGGUAACAUCAAAUCGUACCCCAAACCGACACAGGUGGUCAGGUAGAGAAUACCAAGGCGCUUGAGAGAACUCGGGUGAAGGAACUAGGCAAAAUGGUGCCGUAACUUCGGGAGAAGGCACGCUGGUGUGUAGGUGAAGCCCCUGCGGGUGGAGCUGAGACCAGUCGAAGAUACCAGCUGGCUGCAACUGUUUAUUAAAAACACAGCACUGUGCAAACACGAAAGUGGACGUAUACGGUGUGACGCCUGCCCGGUGCCGGAAGGUUAAUUGAUGGGGUUAUCCGUAAGGAGAAGCUCUUGAUCGAAGCCCCGGUAAACGGCGGCCGUAACUAUAACGGUCCUAAGGUAGCGAAAUUCCUUGUCGGGUAAGUUCCGACCUGCACGAAUGGCGUAAUGAUGGCCAGGCUGUCUCCACCCGAGACUCAGUGAAAUUGAACUCGCUGUGAAGAUGCAGUGUACCCGCGGCAAGACGGAAAGACCCCGUGAACCUUUACUAUAGCUUGACACUGAACAUUGAGCCUUGAUGUGUAGGAUAGGUGGGAGGCUUUGAAGCGUGGACGCCAGUCUGCGUGGAGCCAACCUUGAAAUACCACCCUUUAAUGUUUGAUGUUCUAACGUUGGCCCCUUACCGGGGUUGCGGACAGUGUCUGGUGGGUAGUUUGACUGGGGCGGUCUCCUCCCAAAGCGUAACGGAGGAGCACGAAGGUUAGCUAAUCCUGGUCGGACAUCAGGAGGUUAGUGCAAUGGCAUAAGCUAGCUUGACUGCGAGCGUGACGGCGCGAGCAGGUGCGAAAGCAGGUCAUAGUGAUCCGGUGGUUCUGAAUGGAAGGGCCAUCGCUCAACGGAUAAAAGGUACUCCGGGGAUAACAGGCUGAUACCGCCCAAGAGUUCAUAUCGACGGCGGUGUUUGGCACCUCGAUGUCGGCUCAUCACAUCCUGGGGCUGAAGUAGGUCCCAAGGGUAUGGCUGUUCGCCAUUUAAAGUGGUACGCGAGCUGGGUUUAGAACGUCGUGAGACAGUUCGGUCCCUAUCUGCCGUGGGCGCUGGAGAAUUGAGGGGGGCUGCUCCUAGUACGAGAGGACCGGAGUGGACGCAUCACUGGUGUUCGGGUUGUCAUGCCAAUGGCACUGCCCGGUAGCUAAAUGCGGAAGAGAUAAGUGCUGAAAGCAUCUAAGCACGAAACUUGCCCCGAGAUGAGUUCUCCCUGAGACUUUAAGUCUCCUGAAGGAACGUU
rnacentral:rRNA from 1 species